GCGGAGGUUGUGGCUGCACCGUGGUCCUGGGCUUGGUCCUGGGCUUGAUGCGUCUGUUUGUCCGUCCGUCCGUCCGUCCCGCCAUGGCUGCGCCGGCGCCCUCUCCGUGGACCCUUUCGCUGCUGCUGUUGUUGCUACUGCCGUCUCCGGGUGCCAAUACUGCUGCUCUGACGUGCUGAAGAAAAUCCAGUGGAAUGAGGAAAUGUGCCCUGAGCCAGAGUCCAGCAGAUUUUCCGCCCACCCGGAGACACCAGAACAGCUGGGUUCAGCGCUGAAGUAUCAGUCCAGUCUUGACAGUGACAACA
rnacentral:lncRNA from 1 species